UACGUAGGUGGCAAGCGUUGUCCGGAAUUAUUGGGCGUAAAGCGCGCGUAGGCGGAUCAUCAAGUCGGGGGUGAAAUCCCGGGGCUCAACCCCGGAAUGGCCUUCGAGACUGGUGGUCUUGAGUUCGAGAGAGGUAUGUGGAACUCCGAGUGUAGAGGUGAAAUUCGUAGAUAUUCGGAAGAACACCAGUGGCGAAGGCGACAUACUGGCCCAUUACUGACGCUGAGGCUCGAAAGCGUGGGGAGCAAACAGG
rnacentral:rRNA from 1 species